UUUUUUCAUAGCUGAUCAUUGCCCAUGCUACCUUGGUACUGGGCCCACCUUGGCCUGCUGGUACCGUACAUCUUCUGUGCCAGUUAACUGCAUGCUUUUAUUUUGCUGAGUGAGGUGUGGAAGUCUGGCCACUAAACAGCAUGGAAUGAUGCUGGGGAGGCUGAGUGCUGCCAUCCCAAGUCAACCACUACCUUCUCCGUUCAGCCUCUUCUUUAAAUAAAUGUUGACUGACGAUUUAACGGACAAAUGCACAUGGA
rnacentral:lncRNA from 1 species